rnacentral:rRNA from 1 species
GUACACGCUGUGACUAGCAUAUCAAUAAGCGGAGGAAAAGAAACUAACAAGGAUUCCCCUAGUAACGGCGAGUGAAGCGGGAAGAGCUCAAAUUUGAAAUCUUAAAGGGUUUCCCUUUACGAAUUGUAGUUUAAAGAAGUGUUUUUCUGUUGAGGUUUUGGUAAAAGUUCUUUGGAAUAGGACAUCAUAGAGGGUGAGAAUCCCGUAUUUGACCUUUACUUUCAACUUUGUGAUACACUUUCAAAGAGUCGGAUUGUUUGGGAAUGCAGUCCAAAAUGGGUGGUAAAUUUCAUCUAAAGCUAAAUAUUGGCGAGAGACCGAUAGCGAACAAGUACCGUGAGGGAAAGAUGAAAAGAACUUUGAAAAGAGAGUUAAACAGUACGUGAAAUUGUCAAAAGGGAAGCGUUUGACACCAGUGUUGUUUUUCUGAAAAUCAAUUAAAGAACUGUUUAUGUUAAGUUGUUUAGACUUUAUCAGCUAACUGUUUAGUUUUGAGCUUUUCUUUAAUGCACUUUUCAGUUAACAAGUCAACAUCAAUUUCUUUUGCUGUAAAAAAGCUUGAGGAAGGUGGCUUGAGAUUCGUCUUAAGUGUUUAUAGCCUCUUGCCUAUGCAGUCGGAGAGAUUGAGGUCUGCAGCGUAGAUCCUUCGGGGCUAAAUGCAUUUGUGCUAAGUUAUAGCAUUUUAUAGACAACUUGUUGACUAUGAUUUGUCUUGUAGCUUACUCGCUUAUGUUAUUUUACCUACGCUUAGGAUGUUGAAGUCAUCGUAUCGCGC